rnacentral:rRNA from 1 species
GAGGAAUAUUGGACAAUGGGUGGAAGCCUGAUCCAGCCAUCCCGCGUGUAGGAUGACGGCCUUAUGGGUUGUAAACUACUUUUAUCUGGGGAUAAACCUACUUACGUGUAAGUAGUUGAAGGUACCAGAAGAAUAAGCACCGGCUAACUCCGUGCCAGCAGCCGCGGUAAUACGGAGGGUGCAAGCGUUAUCCGGAUUUAUUGGGUUUAAAGGGUCCGUAGGCGGAUUAAUAAGUCAGUGGUGAAAGCCUAUCGCUUAACGAUAGAACUGCCAUUGAUACUGUUAGUCUUGAGUGAUGUUGAAGUGGCUGGAAUGUGUAGUGUAGCGGUGAAAUGCUUAGAUAUUACGCAGAACACCAAUUGCGAAGGCAGGUCACUAAGUAUCAACUGACGCUGAUGGACGAAAGCGUGGGGAGCGAAC